CACGUAUUUAGCCGGUGCUUCUUACUCAGGUACCGUCAUUUUUUCUUCCCUGCUGAUAGAGCUUUACAUACCGAAAUACUUCUUCGCUCACGCGGCGUCGCUGCAUCAGGGUUUCCCCCAUUGUGCAAUAUUCCCCACUGCUGCCUCCCGCAGGAGUUUGGGCCGUGUCUCAGUCCCAAUGUGGCCGGCCGCCCUCUCAGGCCGGCUACUGAUCGUCGGUUUGGUGGGCCGCUGCCCCGCCAACUGCCUAAUCAGACGCGGGCCCCUCCCGUACCGCCGGAGCUUUUCACACCGCGCCAUGCGGCGCUGUGCGCUUAUGCGGUAUUAGCAGCCGUUUCCGGCUGUUAUCCCCCUGUACGGGGCAGGUUGCCCACGCGUUACUCACCCGUCCGCCACUCAGUCCCGCGGCUCUCCGGCCCGAAGGCCUUCCUUCCGCGCGCUUCGUUCGACUUGCAUGUGUUAAGCACGCCGCCAGCGUUCAUCCUGAGCCAGGAUCAAACUCU
rnacentral:rRNA from 1 species